rnacentral:rRNA from 1 species
UACAGAGGUCUCAAGCGUUGUUCGGAUUCAUUGGGCGUAAAGGGUGCGUAGGCGGCGCGGUAAGUCGGGUGUGAAAUCUCGGAGCUUAACUCCGAAACUGCAUUCGAUACUGCCGUGCUUGAGGACUGGAGAGGAGACUGGAAUUUACGGUGUAGCGGUGAAAUGCGUAGAUAUCGUAAGGAAGACCAGUGGCGAAGGCGGCUCUCUGGACAGUUCCUGACACUGAGGCACGAAAGCGUGGGGAGCAAACAGG